rnacentral:lncRNA from 10 species
AAAUCUCCAUGGUUAUUUGUCUUGCUUUGUCGCCUAGGCUAGAGUGCAGUGGUAGGAUCUCGGCUCACUGCAGCAUUGACCUCCUGGGCUCAAGCUAUCCUCCCACCUCAGCCUUCUGAGUAGCUGGGACCGCAGAGGUGCAUCACCAUACUCGGCUAAGUUUUGCAACUGAUCCUGAGCACACGUCUCCAUGGCGGCAGGAGUCAUUGCUUUUUAGAUCACGUUCUCCGAGCAAGAGCCGAGAAAUCGAUAUCUCUCACAAGGCUGUAGACGUGCUGGAACUGAUUAGUCAUUAACCUAUUGUCACUCCUCCCAGCGCUCAUGGAAGGAGUUGCAGCAUGUCAAUGGAUUUUAAAAGAGUACCAGGAUUAAACUUCUCCAUGGCAGUGGGCAUUUGUGAAAGGUCUGUUCUGAAAUACCAGUACCAUCUUCUCACAUGUUAAGGGCCAAAAAUCUCAGUAAGUCACUCCAAAUCAGGUUUUACAGAUGAUUUUUUGAAAUAUUGAUUCUGGUAUUGUCCCUGAAAAUUUAAUUUAUCAAAUAAGCCAAUUAAGAAGCGUCUUUUAAAGGCACGUAGGGACCAUUCAGCACUGGAUGGACAAGAAAAUGAACAUAUUAAUCUUACAGUCAGCAACGUUUUGUUGAUGCUUUGGAAACUGAACUGCAAAGGAGUACUUAAAUGAACUGAAAGAGUUAAUUUGACUUCUAAGAGCCAUAAACUGGCUUGGGUUGGGUGGAUUCUGUAUUCCCAGACUCUGG